AGAGUUUGAUCAUGGCUCAGGAUGAACGCUAGCUACAGGCUUAACACAUGCAAGGUACGAGGGGAAACGAUAUUGGAAGCUUUGCUUCCGGAUAGGCGUCGACCGGCGUACGGGUGAGUAACGCGUAUCCAACCUGCCCACCACGUUGGGGAUAACCUUGACGAAAGUAAGACUAAUACCCAAUGACGUCUCUAGAAGACAUCUGAAAGAGAUUAAAGAUUUAUCGGUGAUGGAUGGGGAUGCGUCUGAUUAGCUUGUUGGCGGGGUAACGGCCCACCAAGGCGACGAUCAGUAGGGGUUCUGAGAGGAAGGCCCCCCACAUUGGAACUGAGACACGGUCCAAACUCCUACGGGAGGCAGCA
rnacentral:rRNA from 1 species